rnacentral:lncRNA from 1 species
UACAAAUUGGAUCCUACAUUUAGGAAGAAGGAUGGCUGUAUCUGCCUUUUUGACUCUGAGGAUGCCAAGAAGGUCAAGACGGAGAUCGGCCAUGGACCAGAGCUCUUUCAUCAGAUGAGGUGAAAGAGUCUGCAAGGGAAGCUGUUGAGCAUAAAGGUGGGGACCCCAACAACGAGGAGCAUGUUCUUGGCCAGCAUAAAUUACAGUUUGGGCUCUUCAGGGAUAAAACAUUUAAAUGGCUGGCUGAGAACGCUCUGGGGUAUGCUGGCUAUGUGGUGGCAUCCAUGUCGGUGGAGUCAGGUCGCUCUGAUUCAACCAACAAUCUCAUAAACAAGACACUUUUGGAGAAGUAAAUCUCUGUUUCCUGCUGGCCGCUAUGCCAUUCGGGUGAAGAAGGACGCACUGAGCUCCAAACUUCCAAGCCGACCUGCCACUACAGCUUCUGCCUCUACACAGGCCGCCUCCACAUCCCCAACAGCCUUCAACCUCCUUGCAGGCUGCUGUCAAUGUAGCACCCGCCUUCUCUCCACGAUCAUCCGUAGUGCCUGCAUCCUCCCUACGCGGCCUGUUGUCAAGGAGAGACCAGUCUCCCCAGGCUAUCUCCAAAAAUGUAAAGAGCCUCUUCACAAAACCAAGGUUUCAGCCAUGUAAGUAUGCAACAAUACAAUAUAUUUUUUGUGUUAUACUGAGUUUUACAUGUUUUCAUAUUUUUAAUCAUCAUCAUCGGCAGUAACAGUAAAAACGGAACCAACUGACAGCAAGCUCAUGCAGGCUGCCGCAGAAGUUGACCCCGACACAUCGCAGAGCAGAAUUUGCCUCCCCGCUGGUUGGAUCCCCGCCCUGCCAGAGGUUGACCAGCACUGGAUCUCGAAGGCUCUGUUCCGGUGGUCACCCUCUGGUCAACCAGAGUUUGACAUUGACAAGGUGGACAGAAUGUGGUGGUAUCCACCUCAGCAGUCGCUGACAUCCAGUGCCAUCCCAGCAAUGGAGCAGUUCUUUGGGCACCCUCUGUUCCUGUGGAUGCCCAGGAAGCUGUGGCAUGUGCGACUGCUCUGUCCACAUCAAGACUGUGGGAAGGCAGAGCUCACCUCUGCGGGACUCCAUCAGAGGGUCAGGCUGGUGGUUGGUGUCAGCGGCUCUUACUACCUGGUAGCCGAAUACCUUGCAUGUAAGAGUUGCAAAAGGAAGGUCAUCAGCUGGAGCCACAACAUCGUCUCUCAGCUAGACAUUGGUCACUGCCUGCAUUUCCCAUGUCUGCUGACAUACAAGCUGGGGUGCGACAUGCAGGUUGUGCGCAUGAUACGUCAGCG